rnacentral:rRNA from 1 species
UACGUAGGCAGCAAGCGUUGUUCGGAGUUACUGGGCGUAAAGGGUGUGUAGGCGGUUGUUUAAGUUUGGGGUGAAAUCUCCCGGCUCAACCGGGAGGGUGCGCCGAAUACUGAAUGACUUGGAGUGCGGGAGAGGGAAGUGGAAUUCCUGGUGUAGCGGUGAAAUGCGUAGAUAUCAGGAGGAACACCGGUGGUGUAGACGGCUUUCUGGACCGUAACUGACGCUGAGACACGAAAGCGUGGGUAGCAAACAGG